UAGUCACUUGCAAAGUAUUUUUCAGUUAACAAACUUCAUUAUUGUUAUCGCCUGUCUAUUUCCAGGAUAACCAUGAAGACAACCAUAGUGAGUUUGUUUUGUCUGAUGUUGAUGAACUUCAUUUCUGAGGCAUAUGGAUGUAGAUGUAGUAACUUUACACAAAUAAAUUCAUUCUGUAACGCUGAUUUCGUUAUACGAGGAAUUGCCCAAAACAACAGGACCCUUGCAAGCGGUGAUAUUGAGUAUGAUGUGAAUGUGGAAGAUAAUUUUAAGAUGAUAGUGAAUAAUACAAUAAAACUUCGUUCUCGGUCUCCGAAUAAUUCAUGUGGAGUACAUCUAGACACAGGAACUGAAUAUUUAAUUGCAGGAGCAGCAGUGACUGGACGGACAACUGGAACAUUUUACUAUACAGAUCUCUGCAAUUGGUUUCAAAAUUGGCAGGGAGUUGGCAGUCAUACACAAACAGCACUAGAAACGGGAACUUAUGCUCAAUGUUAAUCGUAUUAAAGCACAUUACAUAUUAC